UUGUUGGUGACGUUUUGUUCUAAAAAUUUGAAAAAGUCAUUUUUUUUCUUUCAUAUUAUUAAAGCUCAACCGCUUAGGAAUAUGCCUUCAAGAGAUACAGCUAUUUUAGCGUUAGGGAUCAUCCGCAUCUACCUGUGAUCAUGUUGUCUCGUCAAUGCUUUUGCUUUUGUCGAAGAAGGUCCCAUGUAUGAAGGAGGAAUGACAGAAUGAAUAAAUCCAAUUUUUUGGGACCCCUCACAUCGUCAGCCUAUAUCUUUUUCAAUUUUUAAUUUUUUCACUUUUUUUAAUGUAUUCUUUAAAUAUUAAUAAACAUAUUGUAAAAUAAUGGAUAAUAUAAA